GUGCUCACUUUGGCCGCACCUAUACUAAAAUGAAGACGAUACAGAGAUUAGCAUGGCCCCUGCAUAAGGAUGACACCCAAAUUCGUGAAGCGUUCCACAGUUUU